rnacentral:rRNA from 1 species
AUUGAACGCUGGCGGCAGGCCUAACACAUGCAAGUCGAACGAGUGGCGGACGGGUGAGUAAUGUCUGGGAAACUGCCCGAUGGAGGGGGAUAACUACUGGAAACGGUAGCUAAUACCGCAUACCAUCGGAUGUGCCCAGAUGGGUUUAGCUUGUAGGUGAGGUAACGGCUAACCUAGGCGACGAGACCUAGCUGGUCUGAGAGGAUGACCAGCCACACGGGAACGGAGACACGGUCAAAACGCCUACGGGAGGCAGCAGUGGGGAAUAUUGCACGAUGGGGGAAAGCCUGAUGCAGCCAUGCCGCGGGUAUGAAGAAGGCCUUCGGGUUGUAAAGUACUUUCAGCGGGGAGGCGUUACCCGCAGAAGAAGCACCGGCUAACUCCGUGCCAGCAGCCGCGGUAAUAC